rnacentral:rRNA from 1 species
AACGAACGCUGGCGGCGUGCUUAACACAUGCAAGUCGAACGCGAACGUUUUCUUCGGAAAACUAGUAGAGUGGCGCACGGGUGAGUAACGCGUAAGUAAUCUACCCUGGCAUCUGGGAUAACCCACCGAAAGGUGUGCUAAUACCGGAUACGCUGAUUUAUCAGGAAAGGUGGCCUCUUCAUGAAAGCUACUGUGCCGGGAGGAGCUUGCGUACCAUUAGCUAGUUGGUGGGGUAAUGGCCUACCAAGGCGACGAUGGUUAGCGGGUCUGAGAGGAUGAUCCGCCACACUGGAACUGGAACACGGACCAGACUCCUACGGGAGGCAGCAGUGAGGAAUAUUGCGCAAUGGGGGAAACCCUGACGCAGCGACGCCGCGUAGAUGAUGAAGGCUUUCGGGUCGUAAAAUCCUGUCAGAUGGGAAGAAAUGCCAUUCAGUUAAUAUCUGUUUGAUUUGACGGUACCAUCAAAGGAAGCACCGGCUAACUCCGUG